GUCAACUUGUGUUACACGAAAGCUGGUAACUUGGUCAGUUUGGUUAGUGACACAUGGGCACCUAUCAACCCAUUGGCCAUGCAGAGAAGGUCCUUCCCCCAGCAAAUUACAUUUUUACAUCUACAUGGAUGAGGAGUCACUGCUGGGUGUUUAGCCUCAUCAGAUAUUCAGCUCUGGAAUCUUAAUAUACAAAGUUCCCUUCAUCUUUCUACCUCAGAACCUGAAAAAUCUCAAGUUGGAAAUUCAUUAGGGGGCCAAAUAUAGUACUAUGGAAAUAAACAUUAUGUACUAUAAUAUAACACUGGAAACUUCUGUAACCAAUUACAGCCUUAAAGAAGUAGGUAGGAUGGAAGGAAUGCAGAAGGUGAGCAUCCGGCAAGUCCAUGGAGUAUGAGUUUUGGUUCCUGCCAAUAAUGUAUUGCUAGUUAUUAUUAGUGAGUUCCUGGAUGACUGUGUGACCCUGGCUGUACUAUAUCAGUCAAAUCAAACAGCCUUUCUGAUCAAAUUGUGUUGUUCUCUUGGCCAGAUACCCCUUGUAAAAGUGAUUCUUUAUCUCAGUGGUAAUUCCUAGUAAAAUAAAGGUCAAACAUGGACUUCAACAGACAUUUCCCAUAAUCCCUUGUUUCUGGUCUCUGCAGACAGUCAUGCCUGGGUGCCACAGGCUGCUGAGACAAUAGAUCCAGCAUUCUGCUUUUCUGCUUACUGAUUUUUUUUAAAUGAAAUUGGAUCAAU